rnacentral:rRNA from 1 species
AACGAACGCUGGCGGCAGGCCUAACACAUGCAAGUCGAACGUGAAGCUACCUUCGGGUAGUGGAAAGUGGCAGACGGGUGAGUAACGCGUGGGAAUCUACCCAAUGGUACGGAAUAACUCAGGGAAACUUGAGCUAAUACCGUAUGUGCCCGAAAGGGGAAAGAUUUAUCGCCAUUGGAUGAGCCCGCGUCGGAUUAGCUAGUUGGUGGGGUAAUGGCUCACCAAGGCGACGAUCAGUAGCGGGUCUGAGAGGAUGAUCCGCCACACUGGGACUGAGACACGGCCCAGACACCUACGGGUGGCUG